GACGAACGCUGGCGGCGUGCUUAACACAUGCAAGUCGAACGGUAAGGCCUUUCGGGGUACACGAGUGGCGAACGGGUGAGUAACACGUGGGUGAUCUGCCCUGCACUUCGGGAUAAGCCUGGGAAACUGGGUCUAAUACCGGAUAGGACCACUGCCUGCAUGGGUGGUGGUGGAAAGCUUUUGCGGUGUGGGAUGGGCCCGCGGCCUAUCAGCUUGUUGGUGGGGUGAUGGCCUACCAAGGCGACGACGGGUAGCCGGCCUGGGAGGGUGACCGGCCACACUGGGACUGAGAUACGGCCCAGACUCCUACGGGAGGCAGCAGUGUGGAAUAUUGCACAAUGGGCGCAAGCCUGAUGCAGCGACGCCGCGUGAGGGAUGACGGCCUUCGGGUUGUAAACCUCUUUUAGUAGGGAAGAAGCGAAAGUGACGGUACCUGCAGAAAAAGCACCGGCUAACUACGUGCCAGCCGCCGCCGCAG
rnacentral:rRNA from 1 species